UGGGGAAUAUUGGACAAUGGGCGAAAGCCUGAUCCAGCCAUGCCGCGUGUGUGAAGAAGGCCUUAUGGUUGUAAAGCACUUUAAGCGAGGAGGAGGGUACUGGUAUUAAUACUACCAGCUACUGGACGUUACUCGCAGAAUAAGCACCGGCUAACUCUGUGCCAGCAGCCGCGGUAAUACAGAGGGUGCGAGCGUUAAUCGGAUUUACUGGGCGUAAAGCGUGCGUAGGCGGCUAAUUGAGUCGGAUGUGAAAUCCCCGAGCUUAACUUGGGAAUUGCAUUCGAUACUGGUUAGCUAGAGUGUGGGAGAGGAUGGUAGAAUUCCAGGUGUAGCGGAGAAAUGCGUAGAGAUCUGGAGGAAUACCGAUGGCGAAGGCAGCCAUCUGGCCUAAUACUGACGCUGAGGUACGAAAGCAUGGGGAGCAAACAGG
rnacentral:rRNA from 1 species